GUGGCAAGCGUUAUUCGAAAUCACUGGGCUUAAAAGGGCGCGUAGGCGGAUAUGUAAGUGUUGAGUGAAAUCCCUCGGCUUAACCGAGGAAUUGCUUAGCAAACUGCAUAUCUUGAGGCAAGUAGGGGUGUGUGGAACUCUUGGUGGAGCGGUGGAAUGCGUAGAUAUCAAGAGGAACGCCGAAGGUGAAGACAGCACACUGGACUUGUACUGACGCUGAGGCGCGAAAGCGUGGGGAGCAAACAGGAUUAGAUACCCUAGUAGUCCACGCCGUAAACGAUGUAUACUAGGUUGCGGAGGUUCUGACACCGUCGCAGUCGUAGCAAAAGUGUUAAGUAUACCGCCUGGGGAGUACGGUCGCAAGGCUAAAACUCAAAGGAAUUGACGGGGGCUCACACAAGCGGUGGAGCAUGUGGAUUAAUUCGAAGCAACGCGCGGAACCUUACCUGGGUUUGACAUGUUUGGAUGCCUAUCGGGAAACCGAGUCGGCUGCCUUAGGGUGAAACUUACACAGGUGCUGCAUGGCUGUCGUCAGCUCGUGUCGUGAGAUGUCGGGUUAAGUCCUUUAACGAGCGAAACCCUUACCGUUAGUUGCCAGCGCGUCAUGGCGGGGACUCUAGCGGGACUGCCGGUGUUAAACCGGAGGAAGGCGGGGAUGACGUCAAGUCCUCAUGGCC
rnacentral:rRNA from 1 species